rnacentral:misc_RNA from 1 species
GGAAUCUGUUGGUAACAUGCGCUAAGUACUACAUAAUUAUUUAUUUCUUUUUUCAAUGUUUGUUGUGUAUCGAAAUAUCUUUUUAAAUGUUGUGUAUGUUCCUUAAGAAAUAUGUGUUCGAAGGCUUCUCCGAGUCUGUGUUGCACGUGUAUUCUAUACAAUAAUCUUAGCGACAGAGAGGGGGCGGCGCGGAAGAAGUCUCAUCAAGCGAGUCCCUUGCGAAUGAAUACCUUAGGUUCGCGUAUGUUGAAAAUUGGCUCAAUUGUUGAAAGGAAAUUGUCAUAAAAGAAUAGAAAACUGAUUCACUACAAGACAGAGAAGGAUGGGGAGCAAGCUACACGCAGAUAGAUAUGAAAUGACAAAACUUUUUCUAUAAAAU